GCAGAGUGUGUGUUUGUAUGAGUGUGUGUGUAUAUAAUGCAGAGUGUGUGCAUUAUAUACACACACACUCAUACAAACACACACUCUGCAU